rnacentral:lncRNA from 1 species
AUGAGGUAAAUGACUCACCCGAAACCCCUUUACUUUACUAUAAAACUACUUAAUACUUUUCAUGAGUUGUUUUUAAAUUAGUUAGUAAGAAAUUAAAAAAUAAAAAUAAAAAUCAUGCUUCUUUUUUAUUUUGAAAAAAAAAUUAAAAAUUUGAGCAUGACAAUUGCAUGUUAACUCCUAGCACUAAGCAUGAAAAGUUAGAUUCAUUUAAAAAAAAAAGUAUUAC